GAGAGCGAGGAGACACCCCGAGGACAAAGCCCCUGGCAUGGUUGUAGUACUCCUGCCGGGAAUACUGUGUCCAGUUCUGGAACCCCGACAUAAGAAGGAAAUGGAGCUGUUGGAACGGGUCCAGAGGAGGCUACGAGGAUGAUCAGAGGGUUGGAGCACCUGCCGUAUGAGGACAGGCUGAGAGAGUUGGGGUUGUUCAGCCCGGAGAAGAGAAGGCUCCGAGGAGACCUUACAGUGACCUUCCAGUACCUGAAGGGGCUGCAAGAAAGCUGGAGAGGGAGUGUACAAAGGCUUGGAGUGACAGGAGAAGGGGCAUGUCUUUAAAUUGGAAAGGGGAGCUGAGCAUGUGUGACUGAGAAGUGACAAGUUAUUUGUGCCCAUCUGAGUGUGCGUGUGGCAGCCGGACCGGGGUGGCAUGCGCAGCCGUGCGUGCCCCACCUGAGGGAAAGCUGCUGCCGGGACAAGUGGGUGCAUCUGCUCGUGUGAAUAUAUAUGAAGCUGCUCAGUGUGGAGGAUAACCCAUGGAAUGAUGUGCAGUACUUGUUUGAAAGAUUAACAAGGGACAAUACAGCCCAAUAUCACCAGCUGACAUGAAGAGGGAAAUGAUCUCGAUGCUGAGAAAGAUGAAGCAGUGAAAGAAUUUGAAAACUAAGACAAGUGCUUUGUCUGAAGUGAGAAAAGUAGCAGGGUGAUGUAGUAUAUUUGAAGCCAGAGAGUAUGAGUAGGAACAUCUAAAAAGAGGUUUAUAUUAAUGCCGAAGGCCGCAGGCCUUUCUUCAUGAGAGACUGGAUUGCCAAAAGAUACAUAUGAGACAGGUGAAGGAGAGAAAGGAGGAAAACAGUGAAAGCUCUUUUUUGAACUGGACUGACAACUAGACAUGAACAAAGUAUUGUCUGAGCGACAGGCUGAGGUUUCAGGAAGGACAGAAGGAGAUUGUUGUGGAUUAGAGGGAGGUUCUGUGAGUCAUCGUUGGAAAGAUGGUUGCUGAAUUCAUGUUUACAAUUGAGAUUACCCAGAAAGAGAGAGCAGAACAGGAGCUGAAGAACUAGUAGGUUUGAAAAUGCCCAUUCAAAGGAGUUGAACUAAUUUAACUAGAGUGGUUUUUAAAUUUGUCAACGUUUAAAUCUGGAGGAAGGAAGGUUUGGGAAUACAGGAAGGCUCAGGUAUCAUCAUAUGACUGUGAGAUACAGGCCUGAAAAUUGUUUAUCAUCUGGUUCCUCUAGUAAUCUGCUGGUGCAACAGGCUGUAACUGGCCAGGUACGUUAUCCUGUGCACAGGAGGAAACUGUGUGUAGUAAAAAACUGUUGUAACUGUAUCAACUCCGUUUUGCAUUUCUUUUAUGUUGGAUGUGUAACCAAACCCAACAGCCAGAGCAGUUCAGAGUUCCUGCAUGCCAUGCAAAGCUUGGGAGCAGUCACAAACAGGAUGUGAGGCUGUAUGGUACCAGAGCUGCUCCCCAUUUUCCUACAGAGCAUAGGUCUUGCAGAGUUGGCAUGAAACAAUCUUUACUCUUACCCAUUUUGUUGAAUAGGGUAGUCUGGAUGUGAACAAAUACUCAAGUCCAGAAAGAAAGAUGAGAAAAUAUCAAUGUUUUAUUGUAUAGAAGAGACAAUGAUGAAUUCUGUAUUCUUAUCCAAUCUCUUUACGCUUUCCCAGUAGCACAAAGGGACUGUAGAGUUCUUGAAAUUUCUCCGUAGGGAAUACUCCUCAUGUAGAGGUUUCCUCACUUUGAACAGCUAUUUUGAGCUGCUCCAGUGAUCCAUAGGGGACUGUGGCAGCAAAGCAAUUUAGAGCUGCCAACUUACAUGAGAGGCAUUGCCAAGAAAAAUGAAGAUUCGAAGAUGGAAUAAGGCGACCUUUAGCAGCCCUCUACCCAAUGGGCAGCAAAGAGUCAUGCUCACUCUUUGUGAAGAAGAAUGUUUAUUGUAAAUAUUUAUGUAGAGGUUAUGUUUUGCUAAUUCUGUGCAACCCUGGUAUGUGACGGUGAGAAGCAAAAAGUGCUGUGAGGAGGAGCACUUCUGCUGUCUUCCUUAAUUGUUUUGAUGGUUGCUACAGAAAGAACAGAAAAGCAAGUCGCUACAGAGCUGGUGUAGGCACAGAGAAUACGUGUCUUUCAAGGCUUUCCCCCUGUUUGAAAACCAAAAGUGCUUAUCUCAUAUUGCCAACCUGACCCUGCUCCCCCAUUCAUGUUCUGAUUUACUUGCUCUGCUUCUCAGAUUUCUGCUUACAGAGAGGACAGCAACCACUGCCAACUUCACACUUCAAAGAGUCAGAAGUCAUGGAACAGCAUUUCUCAGCAAAACUGGGCUGCUUUUUGGCAAGACAGAAAUUCUAAAUUGUGUCAUUAUAAUAACAAGCAGCAACAAUCUUUCAGUGACUCGAGUUAUUUUUAGUUCAAAAAUAGUGAUUGCAAACACCUCAUAUGGUUGUUUCCUACUGAAUAAAGGAAUUUUUUGUGUACAGCCGGCAAGUAGCCUUCAAAUUAAGUGAGGAAAGUAAAUACAAAGAAUUAUCCUUCUGUGAAAUCAUUUUCAGGAUGCCAUUAUGGUUUCCUCUACAUUUAGUUCAGAUUCAAUUGGUAAGUGUAAGUGUAGUACUGCCACACAGUUUAUUUCCUGACAAAUGACAAUUGCUGACACAAAAUUAAAAGAGGAAGUUUCGACAAGUAAGUCUUGUAAAAUUCUGUGUAAGUUAAACUGUAAUAGUAGAAGUAGUAUACAUUUAAUACUUGGACAGUGUAUUUUAUGCCUUAUUAAAAGCAUGAAAUUACUGAAGCUUCUCAAAGUUUAGCUUACAUAUUCAAAAGCAAAUAUUUAGCAAAUAGAAGUCACUCAGUUACAUUUGGAAAAGGUAGAUGAAAUAAAGAGGCUAGGGAUUUCAGUUUUGGCCUAAGUUGUCAUUGCUAGUAGUUUCUGUGUGUUCUGCAGGCCCAGAUGAUGGUGAUGGGCUAUAAAAACACCACUGCUGGUACUAACCACCUUUCUGGUGAUAGGUGUGAAAUAUGGUCCUGCCUGUUCACCUGGCAGUAGACCCACAAGCUCACCUGCCAGUUCCUUUCAGGAGUGGGGUGGAGAAGAUGCAGCCUCUUGAACAGGCUGCAAUCAUUUUCUUGAGUUCUACUCCACCUUUGUUCUGAACGAUGCUUUUCCACACACUCUUGCCAUUAUCUAAACUGCUUGCUUCCAUGAUCAGUCAUUGUGCGUGUUAAAAAACAAGGCAAAGUAUUCGUUUAAGAUCAAUAGUGAAGUGCAAUUUAUCUUUUGCCAAGAUUAUCUUCCAUCUGUCUCCAUUUCAUAUUUCAUAGUGCUACAGUUCUUUCUUUAUUGUCUUUUGUUUAUGAAGAUGAAGAAUCUUUUUUGUUGUUUGCUUUUCGUAUCUUUUUGGAAGUAUAACUCAGCUUGACUUUUGGCAAUACUCACUUUGUCCUUCCUUUUCUUGAUCCCACAGAUAACAUUUCCUUUGUGCUUAAUCCUCUUUGCCAUUUUGUAAAUGUUCAGGCUUUUGCUUGUGGUUAUCUAUUUAACUAGCUCUGAUGCCCCUACUUUCCCCACUUUCUUGAGAGUACACGUACUUUUAUUAUUUUCACAUAAUUAUAUUUUCUUCAAUAUCUGAAUUUCUCAGUAUGUGACUUCACAAAUCUCCUUGUUUGUCACAGCUUGUCCUUUUGAAAUUGAAACUAUUGCUUACUUUUGCAUUAGAAGCUCUUACCAUUUUCUCCCCAAUCAAUUUUGACCUAACAAAAUUGGUUUGUAUCUGUUGUAGUCCUCUUCUGUCAUUAGUGUCAACUCCUCUUUGUUAGGCAGACUAUCAUGCCUACCCACUUUUUCAUAUGCUUUUGAUUAAUUAAUAUAAUGCACUAAAUGCAAUAAUGUAUGUAAUUCACAAUGUAAAGAUUAAAACAUAAAAGUUUUGUCCUCAUCUGCUCUACCCUCUCCCCUUCACCCACCCACAGUGAGACAAUAAGAGAAACAUUACAAAAAAUUAGAUAUAUUAGUUAAAUUAUUCCAUCGCUUUGGCACGUCCUGUAGUUAAAUACAGAAUGAACGCAUAUGAGAUCUUUAUUAAAGCUUCUGCGUCUCAUUUCUUUGAUGUAGAUUGUUAAAAGUUCAUAUCUGAGACCUCUCGAUUAUCACCUGGUAAGCAGCUAACCCAAGAAAGAUGCAGUAGGCAAAGGGAAAACAGAUUAUUUAUCUGAGAAAAAAAUGCAAAGAUUCGUUAUGCUUUAAGGGGAAGACAAAGCUUCACCUUUUCAAAUACUCAAACCGGACUGCAUAGAAAACUUUAUUUGAAGGACCUAACCUGGGAAGGGUGGGAUGCCCACCACACAGAGGAGUUUUAUUUAUACAGAAUAAACAAAGAUGCCUCCUUUUUUAUGACCCCAUCUACGAGGCCUAUACUCAAAUCCAAAAGGAUUCUCGGGGAGACAACUGAAACAUGAAAAGCUGUGUUUCUCCCAAGAAUGCAUAGGUAUAUCCAAAGUUCAGUUUAAAAUGGUAUUUCUGUUUUUUUUCACUUAGUCUGUCUCAGAGGUAAAGCAUGUUCAUUCCUUAUUGACCUGACAGAAGAAAGCCAGGCUGUCUCCUCUUUAUGUUUGCCACUUCUGCAGAGACAUCUGAUUGUGAUUGAUUUAUAAUCAAACUUCUGCAGGGAAAAUGUCAUCAUAUUUAUCAAAAAAGUAAUGGAAAAAUAUUUAUAUAGCUUGUAAUUGCUCACAUUGUUUCUAAUUGUUCAUUUAUAUAAGGAAGGGAUUUACAUUGGUUAUAGCAUUAUCAAUUUUAAUAAGCCUAAGCAUAAAAAAUCACCAGUUAGGUCUCAAACUAAUGAGAUUUGUUAAAAAAUAAUGAGAUUUCAACAUUAAUAAAUAGGGAUUUGACCUCUGGGGCAUUUGUUAAUGUGUAUAUUCAAAAUUUUAAAACUCUGACACUGAAGCCAAAAGAAAACAUGAGGCUAUCGCAUGAAUAGAAAUAGAAAGCUUAAAUGAGACACUGAGCGAUACUGAUAUGAUAAAACCAGAAUGGCUCUUUAUAUGUCUUUAUGCACAGUGUUAUAUUUCAUCCACAUCAGGAAAAAGCUUUCUUAUAACAAAGAGGAGUAGAUACUAGAUUUAAUGUAUAAUUGCCUGGUUUACAAUUGAAAUAAUUUAUUAUACUCUACGUGACAGGAUCAUUAAAGGCUCUCUG